UACGUAGGGUGCAAGCGUUGUCCGGAAUUAUUGGGCGUAAAGAGCUCGUAGGCGGUCUGUCGCGUCGGCUGUGAAAACUCGGGGCUCAACCCCGAGCCUGCAGUCGAUACGGGCAGACUAGAGUUCGGUAGGGGAGACUGGAAUUCCUGGUGUAGCGGUGAAAUGCGCAGAUAUCAGGAGGAACACCGGUGGCGAAGGCGGGUCUCUGGGCCACUACUGACGCUGAGAAGCGAAAGCAUGGGGAGCGAACAGG
rnacentral:rRNA from 1 species